rnacentral:rRNA from 1 species
ACGGCAGCGCGGGGCAACCUGGCGGCGAGUGGCGAACGGGUGAGUAAUAUAUCGGAACGUACCCUGGAGUGGGGGAUAACGUAGCGAAAGUUACGCUAAUACCGCAUACGAUCUAAGGAUGAAAGUGGGGGAUCGCAAGACCUCAUGCUCCUGGAGCGGCCGAUAUCUGAUUAGCUAGUUGGUGAGGUAAAGGCUCACCAAGGCGACGAUCAGUAGCUGGUCUGAGAGGACGAUCAGCCACACUGGAACUGAGACACGGUCCAGACUCCUACGGGAGGCAGCAGUGGGGAAUUUUGGACAAUGGGCGCAAGCCUGAUCCAGCAAUGCCGCGUGAGUGAAGAAGGCCUUCGGGUUGUAAAGCUCUUUUGUCAGGGAAGAAACGGUAGGAGCUAAUAUCUCUUGCUAAUGACGGUACCUGAAGAAUAAGCACCGGCUAACUACGUGCCA